GGAGAGCAAGGCCAGGAGGAAGCGGUCGCCCUCCCUCCCCUGGAGCGUCCAGCCGGUGACAGAGAAGCUUCCGGUGCCCUCCGUGGAGUCUGUGGCUGGGGACCAGCUGCCCCCCGUACCACUUCUGUCGUCAAAGUCAUCGGGAAAAAGCUUCCUCCCUGCUGUGCCUGCGGCCUCGAAGAUAAGACCCAGCCUCAGUUUUCACGCAGAUGAGACCACGCACCACGCGCCGGAGGUCAGCUUCACCUUCCCCAGCGCCACCUGGCAGAGCAGCACAGGCCCCAGCAGGGCGCCCCUCCGGCCCCGGGACAUCCGAGGGUCUACAGACAGCGGAGGCCGACGGCACAGCCCACUGCCCCCUGGCCACCCCCGCAAGCACCAGGGUGGCAGCGCCCAGU
rnacentral:lncRNA from 1 species